AGGUGGUGCAUGGUUGUCGUCAGCUCGUGUCGUGAGAUGUUGGGUUAAGUCCCGCAACGAGCGCAACCCUCGCCUCUAGUUGCCAGCAUUCGGUUGGGCACUCUAGAGGGACUGCCGGCGACAAGUCGGAGGAAGGUGGGGAUGACGUCAAAUCAUCAUGCCCCUUAUGACCUGGGCUACACACGUGCUACAAUGGGCGGUACAAAGGGAAGCAAGGCCGCAAGGUAGAGCUAAUCCCUAAAGUCGUCCUCAGUUCGGAUUGCAGGCUGCAACUCGCCUGUAUGAAGUCGGAAUCGCUAGUAAUCGCGGAUCAGCUACGCCGCGGUGAACUACGUUCUCGGGCCUU
rnacentral:rRNA from 1 species